UACGUAGGUGGCGAGCGCUAUCCGGAAUUACUGGGCGUAAAGCGCACGCAGGCGGCUCAUUAAGUUUGACGUGAAAUCUCCCGGCUUAACCGGGAGGGGCCGUUGAAAACUGAUAAGCUUGAGGCGAUGAGAGGGGUGUGGAAUUCCCGGUGUAGUGGUGGAAUGCGUAGAUAUCGGGAGGAACACCAGAGGCGAAAGCGACACCCUGGCAUUUGCCUGACGCUGAGAUGCGAAAGCGUGGGGAGCAAACGGG
rnacentral:rRNA from 1 species